rnacentral:lncRNA from 1 species
GGCAUUUUACUGAUUUAUGUUGCAAUCAUAGCACAUCGCCCAGUGCACCUUGGCGUCUAAAAAAAGGUGGAAUGAAGAGGGCCCACUUUGCCUGUACGUAUUUCAAGGUGUACAUUCAUUGAGAGAAUUAUAUGAGAUAGACGGGUAUUGCAUAACAAUAAUGUUGAGAAAGCUUAGCUUUGAGAACUAGGUAAGCUCUGCAGCAUAAAAAUAUGUUGUACUGUAUAUAAUUGAAAAGUGAACCUUUUGCUGAUUGCUGCCCUACUAUGCACCUGCAUUUUGUGCCUGCCUUACCAAAUGAUGCAGCUGCAGCAAUGUAGUUUGCUGUGUAUCUGAUGGAACUGUGUAUGGAGGCUCGUGCAGCCAGGAACGGGCAGUUGCAUAAAUGCUUUUUAGUACGUAUGUGAGCAAUACCUUGAAAACUUGCUGUACAGUGAACAUUCAGUGAUAGAACAAGUUCAGUUGUGCAUCAUUCUAGAUAAUGAAAGAUUCUUGUGCAAAAACAACAAAAAGAAUCUUUUUGUUUUCUUGCACACAGUAGGUUGCUCUCACUGAAUUUUCGUCUGUCAGGAAACAAAGUUAAGCCUAAAUGAUUCUCAUGAAAAAUUUUAGCAAGUAGCUACUGAUAUAGUUUAACCUUACAUAAUACUUUAUUCCUGAAUGCAUUUGUUUGCUGAUUUCAAGAAAAUCUACAACCAAAAGCCUUUAUUUUUCUUUAGGUGGCCAGAAUGAAGCUUGUUAAACCUACAAUUUUGCAGGAAAUUUUAAAAAUAUUCUCUUGUAACCUUUAGUGGAAUUGUAACUUAUUAGGACUAUGUCUUCUAUAGGGCGUACUGAUGCGAAAUUUUAGUAAUGUACUUUUCUUCUGCGAUGAAUAGUUAUUAACCCAACAGUUGUGGUAUGCAAGUUAAUUUGCUCACUAAUUACUAAUCGAUAUGUCAGAUAACCUAAUUGGUGUUGCAGGCUUAGACCACACUGUGCCACAGAAAGCUUAGUGCUUCUAAAUUUCCUAAGUUUAUUCAGGGAGCUUAGAUAAGUUUAUUGGGAGUGCAAGCCAUCUCCUGUGCCUCCGAACCAUUUACCAUAUUUUCCAGUGUACAAGUUGCACCUUUGUUAUUAGUUGCAGCCGUCUUCUAAACAGCUUCUUGAAGAAAAAGAUGAGACAAGACUGGAAAAGGAAAGCCACAAUGAAGGCGAGCAGAAUGUUGCACAUGCUCAGAGAAGCAGCAGUGGCAAAAUGAUUAGGGUAAAUGCUUUUUACUCACGUUUGUGUUUCUGGUUUUAGCAAAUACGGGGAGGAUAUGGUAGAAAUUAAACUAGUUUAUACAUAAACUCACACUAUCCUGCUUCUCUGGCUUCUGCAUCAGCUGUUUGUGACACAGGCAGCACUUGCCAAACUAUAGCAAAUUUUGCUCAUAUCAUGCACGGUUUCUGUUUAUGUCACGUUUAUGUCUGGGUCACUUUUUGAAGUAAGUUGCUUGUGCAGUCUUUCAAGAUCAAAUUAAUCAUUCUUUGUCUGGAUGCUGCCAGUUACUUAUUUGGUCAGCAGUAUCCAUGUGCACAGAGGAAUUGAACACCUUAGGCAUCUCAGCUUUGAAAUUUGCUAAAAUGCAGCAAUUUGUUUUAGCAUGAAAUUGCCUCUAGUAAAGGUAGGGCUGCCAGAUGCUUUUCAUUUGUGCAUGCAUGUGUUUUGUGCAUGCAUCUGUGAUUUUCUUUGGAGCAGCAUGAACAAAAGAGAAUGCAUGCAUUGCUACGUGUGAGGCAGUAUCUGCUGGGAAAUGCACACAAAAGAUUGUUUAUAUCAGCCUGGUGCUAGCUAUGCCUCCUUUCAGGCUGAAAAUUUGCAGUUUUGCUUUCUUCUAUCUUGCUUUCUUCCCUCCUUCUUCCCUUUUGAUCGUACCUCUCUCUCUCUCUUCUUUUUUUUUUUUUUUUUGUAACUGAGGAGUUUAUAUAUGGCUCACGAGAGUAGGCGAUUUUUUAUAGAGACUGUGUGUUAGGUCAUGUGCCCGCAAAAAAAUCUUGGGGCUUGCUUUAAAUGAGAUUUGUUCACCCAGGGCCAAACUGCAUGAAUUUUGGUCCUGAUUUCUGCAGAACAAAACACUCAGAUCCUUUAUUUAACCUGUCAUGUCUUAAAAGAGGAAUCAACAGGGAGGAUUUUUGCAGUGGAAGGAUUAUUGUAGUAUCAUAAGCACCACCAGUGAACACCCUCACUUCUGCAAGACACCAAAGUUGUAUUUUCAUUGAAGCUCCCUCAUGAAAAGCCCAGUCUACUGAAAACAAUCAGGCAACUUCUCAGCCCCAUGGAUAAUUUUACCCCUCGAGCAAGAUAUGACUCCCAUUGUGGGGAGGUCUGUUUCAUGUCAUACUAGGUCUUUCAACUGAGUAAAUAAAAAUUGCUCUAAAUAAGGCUUGUGGAGAUAUAUGAGUGGAUUUGUUCAAGUAACUUUACACAGUGGCAAUUUUUUAAAUUAUAAUGUUUAUUACAAAAAUUGGUGCAGAAAAAGGGAAUAAUUUGGUGUAGAUGCAGUAAUUACCUAAUUAAUCUGAACUUGUAAACGUGGGGAGAAUUAGUAUAGUUUAACACUCGGAGCCGCUAUAACAUUAGAUCCACCUUUCAAAAUUGUGACACUGCUGGGUGCUGUAACUUCAUAAAUUUUGGCUUAUUUAAGGACUAAGGAUGGAAAUGAGUGUAAAGAGCACAAUUUUCAAACUUUGAAAAGACCUCUCUGAUACGUCUGUCAGUGAUGCACAGCUGUCAUUUCCUGGCUGCAAUUAUGCUGGCUUGAUGAUGAAAUUUGGCAAGGCUUAAGUGUUGGGCACCAAAUCCCACUGAUCUCAUAAAUGCACAUGAUAGAAGCUUUGUACAUAUUUUGAUAGGGAAUGUUUCCAGUGUCAUAUAGUUAUACAUUACUGAACAGACAGGUCAGGGACAGGUGUUCAUGUCUUCCCAGUUCCUGUUUUUUGGAUCAAAGAAGUCAAUGUUUUCAAGUUAAAGCACCUGGCAUCACACUUUUGAAAACCAAAAAGCAAUUUUAAGAACAUUCUGUAGGGACUUGAAGUUCAUUAAGAUAAGCAGUCUGCAUGUUCUUCUUCAGCGGGUUAUUAUAGUGCCUCUUAUUGACUUACUUGAAUAAUAUUUAAAUAAUAUUUUAAAGCGUCUGUCACUACAGUUAGAGCGACCCUAAUGAAGGCACAAUAUAUCUUGCAUGUCGUUUUAGACCUUUUUGGAUGCCUUAGCUGCAACGUUCUAUAUUAAGUUGCUGGGGUCAUUUUUGCCAUCACAAUGUUGUGUCACUCUAGAGAUAAAACAUACUCGUAACUACACUUGGAAACAUUCCUUCAUAACAUUUCGCUGCUGUCAUUUUUACUGAGAGUGAAACUCAAUAUUAACUUGAUUCUGUUUUGGAAUGCUGUCAAAUGAAAUAUAAGAUGCUGAAAUCGGAUUCUUACAAAAUUGAUUUCAGAAAAUUAUGAAAAGUUUUGCUUUGCCAUUGUUAAGGCCCAUAUGGUAAAAAGAAAGGCAUGCUCUGCUGUUCCUAUAACUUAAGCCAAAUGUCUCAAUCAGAACAUGUGUUUACUGGUUUCGUGAUGAAGCAAGUUAAAAAUGAGUUGCAGGUCUUUUUUUUUUAGUGACAUGGUAAGAAAACACCCUGCAAUGUAGGCGAGACAAUGCAGCUCCCAUCACAUUUCUGUAUAGCAAGCGAACAGUGAGCGUCUAGAUUGCAGUAGUGACAUGGACUUUUGCAGGCUCAGAAAGAGCCUUCUACCAAGCUCGUACGCCAUAUAGACACCAUUUCACUGUUUGUGCUGCAGAAAGCCAUUGUGGGCUCAGGAGAUGGUAGUAAAUGCUGUUACUGUACUUAGGAGCAUAUCAUAUGCAUGCUCUGUGCAAAGCGUAACAGCGUUAUAAUUUACUGUAGGAUCAUUGUACCUUGGGCCAGUUGGUUAGUCAUAAAAGAAGGAACCUAGCACAAACAACAAAUGACAACAGAAAAAGAAACACAUACGAUGGGACGGGUGCUUGUUUGUCUGUCUUGCAGUGAGUUGUUGUUCUUUUGUUUUUGGUUUUUGUUUGCACUCAGCUGUAAUUGUUUACAUCAUUGUCUAGUUACUAAAAAAAUGAAAGAACUUACAGGUUUUUGUGUGCUAAACGAAUUGAUGUCUGCAGAAAUGGUGAACUGUGUAAGCCAGCUCCACCAGCGUGCUUUAACACUGAAUGAUGGCCAGGCUGUGUGAAUGUGCUCGACUUUCUAUUUUCAAAUGGUGAAUUUAGACAGCCAAUAGUUAUAACAGUGCUUAUGUCAUGGCAUAUUCAUGAAAGCAGUCAUGGUAUAUGAUAUUCUUAAUUUGAGAUACGUAGCACUACCACUGCACCAGUAACACUUUGGAAGUUCUGAUCCCACAGUUCUUAGUUCGUUCUUAAAUGCUAGUCUAGUCACAGGUUCACAGGUCACCUUGGUACUUGUGAACACUUCCUCUCUGAUACAUUUCACUCAGCAUUCCUUAUCUUCCUUGUCCUGUAAGCUAGUUCAGCUGUCACAUUAUGUUGUGUUAAAGUAACCAAUAAUGCUCGGCACAUGUGUUGGACCUUCAUCACCAAUUACAGUGAUUUCAAAGCACUAAACACAAGAGGUUUGUUAUAAUUGUUACUGUGGUUAACCGUAGGCUGUGGUGGUUAUUAUUCGAUAUGAUAACAUGCAUAUACAUUAGACAGAGAGGAAGAUAGGUCGCAAAAAUCUAGUCUCUUCUGAGGCUCUGGGUCAUGCAGGGAUGACUGUUUACUAUGGUUUGCUAAGUCCUUAAAAGAGGAAUUAUUCUCGGGUGUACUCAAAAAUACCUGAGGGAUUGUGAGAAAGCUGUUCUUGUUUUUCUUCCAGUGGUAGAAUGCUGCCCCAUACUCAGUUUUCUCCCUUCUCACCAAUGCAUUCUUGGAGUGUAACACUGCAGCAGCUUGUGCUGAUAUAACUUAGAAGCUGCUUAUGCUUUCAUUGUGCCAGUAUAGUGUACUGCACUUGAUAAGGCAGCCAUAUUUACUGCUGGUGAAUGUUGACCUCUUUGCACCAGUGCUCCACCUCAUGAGGAGGUGUUGUUUUGUUGUUUAUGGCCUUCUGCCUGCCAUACUCCAGAAGCCUUUCUUGUCCUACACAUGAGGGUAGCUCUUGGUCAGGGUGAAGCAUCAGGCAGGCAUGAUGGAGCUUUGGCAAGAAUGAACCUUGUCAUAUAUUAUUUCUGUUGUUUCCGGGUCUUGGGGCCUGCACAGUGCAAUGAGCGGUUGCUAGAUUGCACAUAACUAGUCAGCAUACCAACUCUGUAGCAGUUACUGGCACCUUUUUCCACCAAAGAAAAAAAAAAUUGCUUGUUCUUGCAUGCACACAGCACCCUUCACAAUUGCUAAAGCCUUGCUGCUUACCACAGCAGCGUGAUCGGUGCACUGUUCUUCUUGGAAGCUGUGCAUUUUUUUCCUCCUGUUGCAUUACACACAUCUAAGCAUUAUUUAUUGCACACAGCACUAGGUCUGUUUUGAUAACAGCAGUGAUAUUACAUUUGGUGUGUGUCCAUUGUGAAUUCCAGUUCGAUGUGCUUGGUACCGCAUUAUGAGAGAAUGUAUUUUCAGCUUAUUUAGAUGGUACCUUUGCACAUUGUAGCGUGGCAAGAUCAUUUUGUGAAAAUGUGGCUGUGGAAGCUGCAUAUAAUUAUCUAUUUAUUGACAUUUUGCUUUAAAUUGCUAUGUGCCUGCCUUAAAUGUUUUUCAUUGUGCUGUUUACCUGCACUUCUGUUUGUGUAGUGUGUAUUCAAAAGCUGUGUUUAAGGUGAAUCAUUCUUCUGUUUUGUAGCAAGACUUUGUUUUAUGUAACAUUUUGCUGCCCUGAUGAGGUGCAGCGUUGUGUGCAUUGUUUUUAUUGCAGUUGUUAAAUUUCUUGCAGAUUUUUAACCCUUGUGCCAUCAUGUUGCUAGUCUUAGAAGCUUUGAAUUAUUUAUUUUCUAGUCAUAUCGAAUUCUGCUCCAUUUUGUUAGCUCUCAUAUGUUUUCCUCAAAUGUCCUCAAGUGUACUGACUCAACAGUCUGCCUGCCAUGUUACUUGAUGAACAUUCACCAUUUACAAAGGUUGUUUACUUGGAGUAUGGCCAGUGCACAGCAAAUUUUUAUGCUGAGAUGUGCGUGGCACAGUAAUUGCAUCUGUCCAGAGCUCUUUUGGGUCGUGCUGAUGAUGUUGGCUUACAUAUGUGGGGCUGUGCAAGAGAACCUUAUCUUUUCCACUCUCCAUGAAGUAUGCAUAGUUUUAUGCCAGAGGCAUCAGUCAUGGCUGUACACAUUCAAGUGACUACUUUUGUAUAAAGUUCUUGCUCCACGGAAUGCUAUUAAGCUGUCUGGCCUGCUUAAGUUUGUUAUACCUAUUACAGGACCAUUUGAAUUGAGCAUUGUAGGUUAAGUUGCUACAUAAAUGCCUUGGCUUUUUUGGAGUAAGGCUACCUUGUGUGCAUUAGCUAAAGCAGUGCAGUUAAUGACUUGUUAGUGCUUUUCCUUUAGAUUAGGUUUUAGUAUUCAUCCAGAAUGUUAGGCGUCAUAACUGUUCUUUCCUUCUUUUCUUUUUUUUUCAAAGGCUUUCUAAUUUGCAUAGAUACAAUCAGUUCUUUAUUAAACUUAAAGAGGUUAUUAGAUGGAAACUAUUAUCAUAACACUUUCACAGUAUAUUCACAUUUACUGAAAAAUGCAUCCUGAAUGUUUUCCACAGAUGUGAUGGCCAAUGCGUUACUAUUGACUAAUGGCAGCAGUACAUAGCACUGUUACCAGUGUCAAGUUUGGCAUUAGGUUCAUGCUAUUUUACAGAACUUUAGCAGGCAUAUAGGGCUCUAGAGAGCACUUUGAAGUUGGCAGAAAAAGUGCAUGAAAACAGAAGAGGUUCACCUUUCACUUUAAAACAGUUGUAUUGCAGCUGUUUGACACAUUGUCACCAAAUGACUCAUGAAUGCCUGUUUUGUGCAUGUCUUUUCUACUUGAAAUAGGUUAUUGAGGAACUCAGUAUCAUCAGCUAGCAUUGUUAAUCUUAAUUAGGGGGGCGAUCCCUAGCAGUAGCACUGUAUCUGGCCUUCACUAGUGGUUUUUCAGUGUCAUAGAAGCAGCUCGAAGGACACAGUAGCACAAAUGGUUAUAGGGCGAACUAGUACACCAGUAAUUUUGUAUUCAGUUUAACUCCGGAAUUUAUCAGCAGCUUAGUAAAGCCAUCUGUCUUUUGGAUCACUUUUCUUUUUUGAUGCGUACUUGGUUCUUAGGCAGGACUUAAAUGUAACCCUCGAGGCCAUGAUAAUGCUACGCAGCUGUGAUUUAAGAUGUGGUUUUCUCUGCAUUUGUCAGCAAUUCUAGCUCUUUGGCAUAGCAUCAGCAACCAGGAUUUCGUAUCUUCCAAGUCACCCAAUCUCCCUUCUUGCCAUUCUGUAGCGCAAAAACAACUGUGCUGCCAUACAGUAAAAAAAAAAAAAGGCAAGUAAUGCUAUUCCAAAUAGUGUGCCAGCAGCAACUUGUCAAACAAGCCUUACGAGAGCGAGCUAUGUGGAGACUGAAAAUUGCAUUGCUCAACUGACUCCACUGAGUACCUUGUCUCUACUGCUUUUGUGUGUUUGGUCUCUUGCACCAGUCACAGUUGUGCACCUGCUUCCCAUUUUAAUGUGGUGGCAUACAGCCAUUUGGUGGCGUUUCGCUGUUUGUUCUCUUUAGUAACUCCAAUUUAUGUAGUAUCAUGGCAAGGACUUUGCCUGCAAUGUAACCACUAAAAUGGGUGAUUUCAUGCCCUCUGCUGGACAAAGCUGUAGUCCUAGGUGGUCAACUACUACUUACAAUUUUGCUUCCCAGUCUUUUUAAAACUUUGGAGCAACAUUUUCUCAGAUCACUUGUGACAAUACUCGACACUCACCCAAGAUGAGAAAACAUGGUUGUGGUUAACAAAUAUAAAGUUCAGAUAUUUAUUUCUUCACGGAGACGGUAGAACUAGCUGCAUUCACUGGUGUUAUUCUUGCCAAGUUUGGAAAGAACCUUCGAGCAAGCGACUUGAAAAGGCCUCCAGUAUUGAUGUGGCUGAACCCAAUGACGAACCAGUUUCACUUGCGUGGUUGCCAGACCUUGCAGCCAUUUGUGUGGAUGGUGGGUAAGCCAGAGGAUGAUGGUUGUGCUGGCUCGUUGCUUCUGCUUGCAAGAUGUUCACACUGAACAUCAUUUUCUUGGAGCUUGUACUUUGCCUUACCUCUCCAGUUGGACUGCCCCAAUUCUAGGAGGAAAAGUAGUUUUUGAAACCUACUCUUAAAUAAAAAUGACUUUGAAUGAA